AGCUUCCAACUUGCUGUCUGUCACUGGGUGCAGAGCCAUGGAGCAUGCAUGAGGUUAUGUGGCAUUUCCAUCAUACACAUAAAACAGUUGCAGUCGACUUCAGCAAGCAGAGUCAUCAAACUCAGGUCACCAGACUUGGCAGCCUCACAAGAAUUACAUCAUGGGAUUCUACUGCUCCAUUUGCAGACAACUCCAUGGAAAAGUCUCUCUUCUUCUAGCAAUUGUUUGCUGAUUCUAGAGCCUUGGGUGCCUCCUGUGAGCUGGAGACACAGACAUAAGAAAUGGACUGAAGAAGAGAACAUACUGCCACUCAACAGUCGUGCUUGAAGAGAGUCCAGGCAGCUUCUAUGACUCAUGAUGGGUGCUGGAACUGCCUGGUCUCCAUUUUCACAGAGCAGGAAACAGUCCCAGGAAGGUUCAACUCAUCAAAGCCACGUUGCUGUGAUACAGCAGAACAAUUGAAAAUUGACUGUCUUGAUUAUCAAGCCAGCCUCCUUUUCACUGGAGGCUUCUUGCCCAUCUCUCUGGCUCCCCUGAUAUCAAAGCCUGUCUCAUGAAAGUUUCAAAUCAUCUUGUGCCUGUUGUGUAUUGGUGAAAUUAUUAAGGCCACUCCACGUAGUUAAA